GAUGAACGCUGGCGGCGUGCCUAAUACAUGCAAGUCGAGCGAACAGACGAGGAGCUUGCUCCUCUGACGUUAGCGGCGGACGGGUGAGUAACACGUGGAUAACCUACCUAUAAGACUGGGAUAACUUCGGGAAACCGGAGCUAAUACCGGAUAAUAUUUUGAACCGCAUGGUUCAAUAGUGAAAGACGGUUUUGCUGUCUCUUAUAGAUGUAUCCGCGCCGCAUUAGCUAGUUGGUAAGGUAACGGCUUACCAAGGCAACGAUGCGUAGCCGACCUGAGAGGGUGAUCGGCCACACUGGAACUGAGACACGGUCCAGACGCCUACGGGAGGCAGCAGUAGGGAAUCUUCCGCAAUGGGCGAAAGCCUGACGGAGCAACGCCGCGUGAGUGAUGAAGGUCUUCGGAUCGUAAAACUCUGUUAUUAGGGAAGAACAAAUGUGUAAGUAACUAUGCACGUCUUGACGGUACCUAAUCAGAAAGCCACGGCUAACUACGUG
rnacentral:rRNA from 1 species